CUAGGGGAGGCUAAGCCUCCCCAAACCUGCCUGGCACCUAACUAAAACGAACUCUCUCCGUUUCUGACUGCUGGUUUACACCUUUAACAUUGUGGAAACCGGUUCUCUGAGCUGCACACUGAUUGGAACUUAUUCCUCAUGGUUUCCCCAAUCAGAAUGCACCUCUCUUGACUGACAGUAGAACUAGCCAAUCAGGUCACAGAUAAAGGAGGGGGUGGGGGUGAGAUUCGGAUCGUCGGAAGGCACUGCAGAAAGGACUAGAAGGAACCUCACCAGAGGUGUAACUAAUUUGCUGCAGAUUUCAACUUACUGCUCCCACAGGAGCCAUAUACCGAGAGAGGGAGAUGGAAGAGUAACUUCAAUAUUUCAGAAACAGCGCCAUUGGAUUAGAAUUAGAAAGUUUCUGAUUUUAGUAUGAUGAAACUUGUAUUACAUUUUUCAUUUUCACAAUCCCAUUUUAAUAAAAAAAAAAUCAGAGGCUGGAGGCAUAGGCAAAAAGAAACACUGCAGACUGAACCCCCUAUGUUCAAAUGCCCUAGGCAGGUCCUAGUUCGCAGCCUGCACUUCGUUUUCUAUAACUGCAAACAAAAUCCAUUACUCACCUGCAGCUGCCUGUUCUGUCAGGUUGCUUUCAUGUUCUUCUUUUGCACAGAGAGAGCUAUUCUGUGCUGCUGGCUGUUUAUUUGAAGAGGCCGUUGCUUCAGGCUGUGAAUUGGGUUGUGUAAGGUCAUCCGGUGGAGGAACAGGAAAGACGACUGGCUUGGAUGAGCUGGAUUCCUUAUUUAUCAAAAGUACCUGAAUUGGACCUGAAUUACUCUUUAAACUAAUCUGGUAUUUCUUUUGUCCAUUUUGACCCUAAAGGAAAAAACAAAGGCCCACAAAAGCAUUGGUACAUUGUAUAUGCUUUAUGCAAGGAAUGUAAAUUCAUGAUAUUAAACACAGCAACUCUCUCCACAUCUUAACAAUAAACAACUAAUAUUAAUGGACCUCAGACGAUCAGAAGUAUCCAAGCUAAGCAAAUAUAUUUUUAUACCAUUUCGGGAAUUGGAACUUCCAGUUGAGUGCCAGAUGGAGCCUGGAUAGCAAGGAGAGUGUCUCCUAGAAUAUGAAGGGGGAGAAAAAAAAAAAAAGAAAAAGUGUAUGAACAUUUUUUUUGUCUGUUAUAUGCACCUUUACUACUUAGUCUGGACAAAAUAAAAUAAGAGAGGUUGAAAGCACCUACCAUUAAAG